rnacentral:rRNA from 1 species
AUUGAACGCUGGCGGCAGGCCUAACACAUGCAAGUCGAGCGGAUGAAGGGAGCUUGCUCCUGGAUUCAGCGGCGGACGGGUGAGUAAUGCCUAGGAAUCUGCCUGGUAGUGGGGGAUAACGUCCGGAAACGGGCGCUAAUACCGCAUACGUCCUGCGGGAGAAAGUGGGGGAUCUUCGGACCUCACGCUAUCAGAUGAGCCUAGGUCGGAUUAGCUAGUUGGUGGGGUAAAGGCCUACCAAGGCGACGAUCCGUAACUGGUCUGAGAGGAUGAUCAGUCACACUGGAACUGAGACACGGUCCAGACUCCUACGGGAGGCAGCAGUGGGGAAUAUUGGACAAAGGGCGAAAGCCUGAUCCAGCCAUGCCGCGUGUGUGAAGAAGGUCUUCGGAUUGUAAAGCACUUUAAGUUGGGAGGAAGGGCAGUAAGUUAAUACCUUGCUGUAUUGACGUUACCAACAGAAUAAGCACCGGCUAACUUCGUG